rnacentral:lncRNA from 1 species
GCUCCUGCUCCUGCCUCAACUUUCCAAAGUGCUGGGAUUAUAAGUGCACGCCAUCAUGCCCGACCUGACUUGAUGACUUCUUAAGAUUCAGUGAAGCCUGACUCAUUGCUCCAGCUGGAGAGUUGAUUAUGACACAAUGCCUGCCUUGAAGAGUACGUCAGUGUUAUAUGUUACAAGUCAAGAGCUUCAAGACAGAAAAGCAGGAUUUGUGUUUCAACUCUAUCACUUCAUAACUGGGCAAAUGAUUGAAACUCUGAGUCUCAGUCCCUUCCACCAUAAAAUGAGGAUGAAAGUGAUAGCCUCUAUGCACAGUUUUUGAGAAGGAUUGCAGAGAA